rnacentral:lncRNA from 1 species
AGAUGAAGAUGUAAAUUGAUCCAAGUAAACAAUGGGAAAAUGAAUGCUAUAAUUACCAAGAGAAGACUGCAUUUUUAUACAGUUGAAGUAUGAUAUAGUGAAUAAAUACCCUCAAUGCAGCCUUGUGGAGCUUUUGCUAGACCAUGAACAGUAGACAUAAAAAAGAUGCUCAUCUAAAGGGUCACAAGUGUUUGAAGCAUUGGUCAACAACAAAAAAGCAACUGAACCAUUGAUGGAUUAUACAGAAUGUACAAUCAGAUUUCAAGAAUCAGAGAAAUAUAAGUGUCAAG